rnacentral:rRNA from 1 species
GACAGAGGCCUCGAGCGUUAGGCGGAAUCACUGGGCUUAAAGCGUGUGUAGGCGGAUCGUUAAGUACCUUGUGAAAUCCCACGGCUCAACCGUGGAACGGCUGGGUAUACUGGCGGUCUUGGGGCAUUCAGGGGCGACUGGAACAAGCGGUGGAGCGGUGAAAUGCGUAGAUAUCGCUUGGAACGCCGAAGGUGAAAACAGGUCGCUGGGGAUGUGCCGACGCUGAGACACGAAAGCCAGGGGAGCAAACGGG